UCAGGAAUCUUGCACAAUGGGGGAAACCCUGAUGCAGCGACGUCGCGUGGAGGAAGACGGCCUUCGGGUUGUAAACUCCUUUUAACCGGGACGAGAAUGGACGGUACCGGUUGAAUAAGCCCCGGCUAACUCCGUGCCAGCAGCCGCGGUAAUACGGAGGGGGCGAGCGUUGUCCGAAUUUAUUGGGCGUAAAGCGCGUGUAGGCGGAUGGGAAAGCCUGGGGUGAAAGGUUGGAGCUCAACUCCAUACAGUGCCCUGGGGACUUCUUGUCUGGAGGCAGGCAGGGGAUCGUGGAAUUCCUGGUGUAGCGGUGGAAUGCGUAGAGAUCAGGAAGAACACCCGUGGCGAAGGCGGCGAUCUGGGCCUGUACUGACGCUGAGACGCGAAAGCGUGGGGAGCGAACGGG
rnacentral:rRNA from 1 species